AAAAUAAUUAUUUAAGUUACCGACCUCGUGAGGUCGAUAAAUAUAAUUAAAAUAAAAUAAAAUAUGAUCACUUAAUUUAUUAACCCCUUGUUCCUUUACCCCCAUUUUUACGUUUUCACUCAAAAUUUAAAACCCCCCCCCCCCAACCCGCGCCCACUCCUCUCUCUCUCUCCCUCUUUCACCACCACCGUAUCCUCACCCACAUCGCCGUACCUUCGCCGAUAGCCAGCUCCGCCGCCAGCCAGCCAGAUCCGGCAUCCAGUCCGCCGCCACCACCAUCUAUUCCAGAUGUAAUUAUCUAAUCUUUCUAAUGCAUAUUUACAAGAGUGGAUUAUGAAGCAGUGGGAGAAGAACUAUUAUAUUAGUUCUCUUGCUGGUGCCACCAAUGGAAGCUCUUUAGUAGUAAUGUCAAAAGGUGGAUGUUCCUGACAUAGUAUUCUAACAUGCCGGAAAUGUGCUUGAGACAAGUGAUGGUAUUGUGCGCUGUGGGAAUCACAUUAGUAUUUAGUGUGUCUGUUUCUAUAUUAUUCUAUUGAGUUGAUUUGUAGGUGCUUGGUGCCUAUGGUUGUGGAGGGUCUUUUUCCCUAUGCAAAGGGAAAUGCAGACUAUUAUGCCAGCUUGUGAGCUUU